rnacentral:rRNA from 1 species
AGUGAACGCUGGCGGUAGGCUUAACACAUGCAAGUCGAACGGCAGCACAGUAAGAGCUUGCUCUUACGGGUGGCGAGUGGCGGACGGGUGAGGAAUACAUCGGAAUCUACUUUUUCGUGGGGGAUAACGUAGGGAAACUUACGCUAAUACCGCAUACGACCUACGGGUGAAAGCAGGGGAUCUUCGGACCUUGCGCGAUUGAAUGAGCCGAUGUCGGAUUAGCUAGUUGGCGGGGUAAAGGCCCACCAAGGCGACGAUCCGUAGCUGGUCUGAGAGGAUGAUCAGCCACACUGGAACUGAGACACGGUCCAGACUCCUACGGGAGGCAGCAGUGGGGAAUAUUGGACAAAGGGCGCAAGCCUGAUCCAGCCAUACCGCGUGGGUGAAGAAGGCCUUCGGGUUGUAAAGCCCUUUUGUUGGGAAAGAAAAGCAGCAGGUUAAUACCCCGCUGUUCUGACGGUACCCAAAGAAUAAGCACCGGCUAACUUCGUG